GUCGUCAGGGCCUAUAUAUUUUGACGUGUUUCCGUAAAGAGUUCUCUCUCUCUCUGCAACCAUGCUGCUUAAGCUUGAAGACAGCCAGGUGACUCUUAUAUGCAAGAAUGCCUCCGGAGAUGCUUGUGAAGUUCAUUAGAUUGCAUUAUCCAGUGCCAGUUCUGCAUUCGUUGAAAAAGAUGCAUGUUUAAGGGUUAUGAUGUCAUCAAAGAUUGGCCACCUUUGGCAACUUUAAUGUCGAGCUGAAGGCUACACAAGCUAUGGAGAUGGAUCCUACCAGAGAGCUGGCCCAAAAGCUGCCAAAUAUCUCAAGAUGUUUGGGAUAGGUGAGGCUGUGGUUCCAGGUACCAAUAUUGCUCAAAUUGCCACAGGUGAUUUGUCUGCUACAAUGCCUCUGGAAUCUUCAGUGGAUCCUGAUCACGUGCUUUUCAAGCAAUAAGCAUAAAUGCUUGAGGGAAUCCAGCAGUUGUACUAACGUUGAGAAAGAGGAGCAGAAAAUGGGCGCCGUGACCAAUCUGGCUGUGUUAUUUCAUCUGCACUUGCUGUGGGCUGGACCGGUUGACUGUGACCAUUAUGGUGACCUGUAGGUAGUGUCAAGAGUAUUUCAUCGGUCUUUGUGUAUGAAUAUUUUCUAAGCACCUUUGUAAUGUGCAUUGAUGUAAACGUCAUGUGUUAAUAAAGUAAUACUCUGCGAUAACA